ensembl:lncRNA
AGCUAGUGAAGAGAAAUAAUUCUUAAGGCCCACUAAAGGGAGAGACUGUAGCCAGGGCCUUGACUUCUCUGUAGUAGAAAUCUGCACUUCAAUUAAGCCCAGAGGAAGUUUAUCCACUGGAGCUGAAUAAUGAAACCAUCAUUCAAAAUGAUUUCAUGUAACUUUUGAGGUUGGUUGCAUUUUUUUCUUUUCAAGAGAGAAGCUGCAAGGCAGUUUAAAGCUCAACUGCAUUAAGGUUCAUGGGGGCUAGGUCAUCUGGAGAAGCUCUGAUUCCCUCUGGGCAUUUUGAUGAUUCUGACUCCCCUCCCACGCAUUUCCGUCUCUCUCUCAGCAUGUCACAUCCAUGGCUAUCAAGCCCUGACCAGCAAAGGCUGGGAAGGUGAACAUCAUUCACAUUCCAUCCUUAUUCUAUUUAGAAAUAUUUAGCAAGUUAUCUCAAGAUGCCUUUGAUUAACUGUUUUGUUGGACAAAAAGUUCAAAGCCUGCUUCAGCACUGGUGAUCCCAUUCCUUGCCCUUGCUUUCCAACUGCAGACCUUAAUUUCACACUUCAGAAGGAUGAUUUUGCAUCAUCAGAGAGAUUCCUCUACAUUUCUGUUAUGGUCUUCCCUGCAAUGCAGAGGAGAUGCAACAGGUAUUGGAAAUGUUUGGCUUUUUUCUCCUGAAAAUCAAUUCUGAGGAAAGUCUGUAUACUACUCUGGAAAACUGCCGAUUUAGAGAGCUACAAGGGGAUAAUGAUGAUCUGACACCACCCUCUCUCAAGAAAAAACAAUAAAAAAAGCAAGUAACUUGAUUCCCCAAGACACUGAUGCACAUAGUGUGGCUAGUCUCCUUUUUCACCCCUAUAAUCAUUGCACUUCUCAACAGAGCCAAGGACAUGAAUUUUUACUAAGAACACUUCAAAAGCCCUCCCAAUGUCCUACUCUCCUGAAGAGCAGCAGCUCCCUGCACACAUGAAAUUUCUGCUGAAGCUCAAUUCCAGCUAAAGGUUACAUGCCAUCUAUAUCCCUGCACUGAACCUACCUCUUUUUUUCCCCUCAAGCAGCACCCCAAGUUUCACCCUCUCUCCUUACUGUAUUCUUCCCUUCCAUCGUUAGCAUCCGUCGCACUAGGCCCAAAUAACACCCACCUGUGUUCCUUUGCAGCCGUGAUGCUUUAUGACAUCUUAGAGCACAUGCUGUUGAACAGAACUAGAUGAAACUAUACCUUUUGCUGUAACUUCAUGUAGGUGACUUCCAUAAACAAAGCACUCCAUAUGUAACUUGUGGAAAAGCAGCAAGAAAAACUGAGGCCCACCUUUAUCUCAGACAGGAUCUGUUUUGCAUCGUAGCUGUAGCAUGAGUUUAGGAUUUCUUACCCUGUUUAUCUUCAGGAAUUACCCAGCUAUAAGAAAUUUUAUACUGGGAAAAUCUAGCUUAAUAAUGGAUCACAUGAAAGCAUCUGGUUAAUACAGCAUAGUCCAUUUUUUCUCGUCAGUAAUUCAGAACUCAGUGCAGAGGGAGAGAAGCACCAGAAGCUUUAUUUAAAUUGCCCUCUAGAUAGAACUCCCCAGACUCAUUUAGCAUAAGCAUAACUGCAACACAUAGACAAAGCAUGCUCCAUAUUACAGUAUUACAUGAACUAAUGAAAGUUACUUUAGAAUUACAGCAUUGUAGAAUGGUUUGGAUUGGAUGGGACCCUUAAAGAACAUCAAGUUUUAACCCCCAUGCCAUGGGCAGGGACACCUUUUAAUUGACCAGAUUGCUCAAAGCCCCAUCCAUUCUGGUCUUCAGUGC